GAGACUCUGUGCGCGUGCAUAUCAAUAAGCGGAGGAAAAGAAACUAACAAGGAUUCCCUUAGUAACGGCGAGUGAAGCGGGAAGAGCUCAAAUUUGAAAUCUUCAAGGUCUACCUUGACGAAAUUGUAGUUUAUAGAAGUGUUUUCUGUUAGUGGAGUGGCAAAAGUUCUUUGGAAUAGGACAUCAUAGAGGGUGAGAAUCCCGUAUUUGGUCAUUCCUCCUAGCGUUGUGAUACACUUUCAACGAGUCGGAUUGUUUGGGAAUGCAGUCCAAAAUGGGUGGUAAAUUUCAUCUAAAGCUAAAUAUUGGCGAGAGACCGAUAGCGAACAAGUACCGUGAGGGAAAGAUGAAAAGAACUUUGAAAAGAGAGUUAAACAGUACGUGAAAUUGUCAAAAGGGAAGCGUUUGACACCAGUGUUGUUUUCUCGAAAAUCAAUUAAAAAGAGUUGGAUUUUGUAUUGUUAAGACCUUAUCAGCUUACUGUACUUUUUUCUUGCUCUUUUUAAUGCACUUUUCGUUUAACAAGUCAACAUCAAUUUCUUUUGUUGUAAAAGGGUCAUUGGAAGGUGGCUUUCACUUCGGUGAAAGUGUUUAUAGCCUUUGGCUUCUACAAUCGGAGAGAUUGAGGUCUGCAGCGUAGAUCCUUCGGGGUUAGAUACGUAGAUGCUAAGUUAUAGUUUUUUAUAGACAACUUGUUGACUAUGAUUAAUCAUGUAGCUUACUCGUUUACGCUAUUUUACCUACGCUUAGGAUGUUGACAGCAGUAUAGACUGU
rnacentral:rRNA from 1 species